rnacentral:lncRNA from 1 species
AUUCUUCCUCAUUCUUUGAGGAAUCUAUCCUUUAGUAUUUCUUAAAUACUUAAGGACUCACUUGACAGUUGCAUGGUUCUGAUCCUGGGCUUGCAUUGAUAUUCGUCUUGUACCGUUCUAGGUACAACCCAUGUCAAUGUUUUUCAUACAAUAUGAAAUACAUAAAUCACCUUUCUGCGUAUGCAUAAAGGAUUCUAUUUACGCAUUAUUUCUUUGGGAGUUAAAGAGUACGUUCUCUUUGAGAAGAGCAACUUCUUAGUCUCACUAGAGUUGUCCUUUUGAUUGAAGUUCAUCAUCAUAUGAGAAACUUCCUAGCAUCUUUUGUGUAUAUUUAGGGCUUGAUAUAAUCCAAUUAUAUCCUAAAAUCUAUCAAUAUAGAUUUCCAUCCCAUGUAUAUAGACUAUGUCUCCCAUAUACAUUCCAUCUUUAUAGAAUGUUUAAAGUCAUAACUUUAACAAAUGUUUAAAGUCAUAACUUUAACGAAGAAGUAUUCUUUCCAUUUCCAAAAUUAAUAUAUCAUAUAUAUAUAUACAAGUUUAGGAAUAUGAUUAACUCCCACUAAUCUUUUGUAAACCUAGUAAACAAAAGAUUCAUUU